rnacentral:rRNA from 1 species
GGCACAAGCGGUGGAUGAUGUGGAUUAAUUCGAUGCAACGCGAAGAACCUUACUACCCUUGACAUGUCCGGAACUUGCCAGAGAUGGCUUGGUGCCCGAAAGGGAAUCGGAACACAGGUGCUGCAUGGCUGUCGUCAGCUCGUGUCGUGAGAUGUUGGGUUAAGUCCCGCAACGAGCGCAACCCUUAUCAUUAGUUGCUACGCAAGGGCACUCUAAUGAGACUGCCGGUGACAAACCGGAGGAAGGUGGGGAUGACGUCAAGUCCUCAUGGCCCUUAUGACCAGGGCUACACACGUGCUACAAUGGCCGGUACAAAGAGUUGCGAUACCGCGAGGUGGAGCUAAUCUCAUAAAGCCGGUCUCAGUUCGGAUUGGAGUCUGCAACUCGACUCCAUGAAGUUGGAAUCGCUAGUAAUCGCGGAUCAGCACGCCGCGGUGAAUACGUUCCCGGGCCUU